rfam:Myotis davidii contig33048, whole genome shotgun sequence.
GGUGGUUCUUGGGCGAUGCACCCCAAAACUGGGCUCCCUCCUCUCCGGUUCUGGGUGUAUCACCUGAGAACCGCA